CUCUGAAUGUCAAAGUGAAGAAAUUC
rnacentral:piRNA from 6 species